GUCAAGGCUAUGGUUUUUCCAGUAGUUAUGUGUGGGUGUGAGAGUUGGACUAUAAAAAAAGCUGAGCACAGAAGAAUUGAUGCUUUUGAACUGUGGUGUUGGAGAAGACUCUUGAGAGUCCUUUCGACUGCAAGGAGAUCCAACCAGUCCAUCCUAAAGGAGAUCAGUCCUGGGUGUUCAUUGGAAGGACUGAUUUUGAAGCUGAAACUCCAAUAUUUUUGCCACCAGACUCAUUUGAAAAGACCCUGAUGUUGGGAAAGAUUGAAGGUAGGAGGAGAAGGGGAUGACAGAGGAUGAGAUGGUUGGAUGGCAUCACUGACUCAAUGGAUGAGUUUGGGUGAAUUCUGGAAGUUGGUGAUGGACAGGGAGGCCUGGUGUGCUGCGGUUCAUGGGUCACAAAGAGUGAGACAUGACUGAGCAACUAAACUGAACUUUCUAUGUUGUAGAUGUAUGGAUGUGAGAGUUGGACCAGAAAGAAGGCUAAGCACCAAAGAAUUGAUGAUUUUGAACUGUGGUGUUGGAGAAGACUCUUGAGAGUCCCUUGGACUGCAAGGAGAUCCAACCAGUCCAUCCUAAAGGAGAUAAUCCUGAGUAUUCAUUGGAAGGACUGAUGCUGACGCUCCAAUACUUUGGCCACUUGAUAUGAAGAGCCAACUCACUGGAAAAUACCUUGAUGCUGGGUAAGACUGAGGACAGGAUGAGAAGGGGAUGACAGAGAAUGAGAUGGUUGGAUGGCAUCACUGACUCAAUGGUCAUGAGUUUGAGCAAACUCUGGAAGAGAGUGAAGGACAGGGAAGCCUAGUGUGCUACAUUUCAUGGGGUUGCAAAGAGUUGGACACAACUGAGCGACUGAACAGCAGCAACUACACCAACAGGGCAGCAAGGGCUGUUGGCCCUCAACUGUGUUGUUACUUAUCUACAGGCUGACCAUGUUGGCCUGGGACAGCAGCUGGGCCCUUGCCAGAUCCUUCUGCUGGCAGCUUCCCUGAUUGCUGGACCAGAUGCAUAGUUGGCUCCACGAUGGAAGGCGCCAGCUUCACCUUCAUCCAGCCUGUCUGUUCUGGCCGUGCUUCACAUCCUUCUUUUCCCAACUGCCUGUGGACUCAGGUGCCAGCAGCAGACACAGAAGCAAGUGUGCACCCUUACUUAGCCCUCUUAACCAGCUCCCAGAGGACAGUAAGUGUAAGUCCUUGUAAUUAAUAUAAUAAUUAAUAAACAUACAGACAUAAAUGUACAUAUGGUUUUGCUUAAACCCUAACCAAUACAUUGUAUGCAAAAGCAUAAUUUUUGAAAAGCUGCAAAUGUAAUUCAAUGCAAAUACAUAGCAAGCAUGGGAAAGAUUAAUUAAUGAGGAACCCAGCACAGUUUCAUAUAUAGUUCAAAGAAAGAUACUAAACAUUGAUGUCAGUCAAAGAAAGAAUUCUGGAAUAUGAUUGGCUAAAUUAGAC
ensembl:lncRNA